rnacentral:rRNA from 1 species
UAAUACUCCAUACGAUCUUUGAGUGGCAUUACUUAAAGAAGAAAGCUCCGGCGGUAAAAGAUGGGCAUGCGUCCUAUUAGUUAGUUGGUGAGGAACGGCUCACCAAGACGUCGAUAGGUAGGGGCCCUGAGAGGGGGAUCCCCCACACUGGUACUGAGACACGACCAGACUCCUACGGGAGGCAGCAGUGAGGAAUAUUGGACAAUGGAGGCAACUCUGAUCCAGCCAUGCCGCGUGCAGGAAGACUGCCCUAUGGGUUGUAAACUGCUUUUAUACAGGAAGAAACCUACUUACGUGUAAGUAGCUG